GAUGAACGCUGGCGGCGCGCCUAAUUCAUGCAAGUCGAGCGAACAGACUAGGAGCUUGCUCCUCUGUAGUUAGCGGCGGACGGGUCAGUAACACGUGGAUAACCUACCUAUAAAACUGGGAUAACUUCGGCAAACCGACGCUAUAACCGGAUAAUACAUUGAACCGCAUGGUUCAAUAGUGAAAGACGCUUUUGCUGUCACUUAUAGAUGGAUCCGCGCCGCAUUAGCUAGUUGGUAAGGUAACGGCUUACCAACGCAACGAUGAGUAGCCGACCUGAGAGGGUGACCGGCCACACUGGAACUGAGCGUCGGUCCAGACUCCAACGGGAGUCAGCAGCAGGGAAUCUUCCGCAAUGGUCGAAAGCUUGACGGUGGAACGCGGAAUGAGUGAUGAAGUUCUUCGGAUCGUAAAACUCUGUUAUUAGGGAAGAACAAAGGUGUAAUUGCCUAUGCACAUCUUGACGAUACCUAGGCAGAAAGCUACGGCUAACUAGGUG
rnacentral:rRNA from 1 species